rnacentral:rRNA from 1 species
GAUGAACGCUAGCGGCGUGCUUAACACAUGCAAGUCGAACGAAGCACCUCUCCCGAAGAUUGACACAGCUUGCUGUAGAUUGAUUCAUUUGAGGUGACUGAGUGGCGGACGGGUGAGUAACGCGUGGGUAACCUGCCUCAUAGAGGGGGACAACAGUUGGAAACGACUGCUAAUACCGCAUAGUAAGAAGAAUUCGCAUGUUUUCUUCUUGAAAGAUUUAUCGCUAUGAGAUGGACCCGCGUCUGAUUAGCUAGUUGGUAAGGUAACGGCUUACCAAGGCGACGAUCAGUAGCCGGCUUGAGAGAGUGAACGGCCACAUUGGGACUGAGAAACGGCCCAAACUCCUACGGGAGGCAGCAGUGGGGAAUAUUGCACAAUGGGGGAAGCCCUGAUGCAGCGACGCCGCGUGAGUGAAGAAGUAUUUCGGUAUGUAAAGCUCUAUCAGCAGGGAAGAUAAUGACGGUACCUGAAUAAGAAGCCCCGGCUAACUACGUG